rnacentral:lncRNA from 1 species
CCAAUCAGACCUGAGUGGGUGUGCUGGGCCUUACCACCCUUACAGCUAGUUGGAAAAGCAUUGGACCAGACAGCAAAACUUACAGGCCCCAAUGGACCCCUUUUCUUUGGGUGGGUUCUGGUAGGGUACACCUGACUUGCAGGGCAGCCCCUUAGCUAACUUGUAUUGUCUCAGUUGCUGAUAAUAGGCUGGCCCCCAUGGGAGAGACUGCUGGUGUCCCCAGCAGCCUGGUGGGAACAAGUGCCAAUCCUUUUGGGAGGAGGAGGAGGAGAUCAGAUUAUAUCCACAGACACUUUCACAGACAGAAGUAAUGAAGCACAAAUGAAAACCCCAGGCAGCAGUAGACAACAGAAACAUACCAGAAAGGCAGAUGCUGCAGUCACCCCAGGCAGGCUUAAAAAUAGCUCUGCUGGCACCGCAGUGAUGAAGGACUUGUGAAGAAUUUAAGCAAUGAACCAAAUGGUGAUUCUGCAACUAGACAACAGAUGAACAGACACACAGAUAACUGCUGUAACAGCAGACGGUAGGAAGGACACAAUGCACUCCCCACACUUAGGAGGCAGGUAUGUCUUCAACUUGCAGACCUGAGGUCAGCAGAGAAAGAAUCUUACAGUAUCUUCCUCAGAAAUAACUGAAAGACACAGACAAAGAGUCACACCAGGCUGUCACCAUAUAUCUGGCACCCAGGAGGAUAGGACGGAUGAUGGAUUGCUGGCAAUGUAUCCCCAUCGAGUUUUAUCUGAGACCAUCACGCCCAGCAGACAGGAGAUGAUGGAUGGGCCACGAUAGCAACUGAGGAAGCAAGUGAGCCAAGGUCAUGAUUACCCAGGAGGAACAUUGCUGCAUGGCGGGAAGAAAACUGCCUCACUUCAUACUUUCAAGACUGAGGUCACAAACCCUAGGUGCAGUGGGGUCUCUUUGUCCGUGCGUAACCCCCUGCUUCACUGGAAAGGAGAGCCAGCCUUUGGGAAGCCACCCACUCUUGAGCAGCGCCUCCCAGCAACUUAGCCACGUGUUCGAGUUCCUGAGGAUCGAGCAAGAAGGAAAGCCAGACGGAUGCUUAGCCUAUGAGGGCAGCAGACUUUGA